rnacentral:rRNA from 1 species
AACCUCCGCAAUGUGAGAAAUCGCGACGGGGGGAUCCCAAGUGCCAUUCUUAACGGGAUGGCUUUUCAUUAGUGUAAAGAGCUUUUGGAAUAAGAGCUGGGCAAGACCGGUGCCAGCCGCCGCGGUAACACCGGCAGCUCUAGUGGUAACAAUUUUUAUUGGGCCUAAAGCGUCCGUAGCCGGUUUAAUAAGUCUCUGGUGAAAUCCUGCAGCUUAACUGUGGGAAUUGCUGGAGAUACUAUUAGACUUGAGACCGGGAGAGGUUAGAGGUACUCCCAGGGUAGAGUGAAAUUCUGUAAUCCUGGGAGGACCGCCUGUUGCGAAGGCGUCUAACUGGAACGGUUCUGACGGUGAGGGACGAAAGUUAGGGGCGCGAACCGGAUUAGAUACCCGGGUAGUCCUAACUGUAAACGAUGCGGACUUGGUGUUGGGGUGGCUUUGAGCUGCUUCAGUGCCGAAGGGAAGCUGUUAAGUCCGCCGCCUGGGAAGUACGGUCGCAAGACUGAAACUUAAAGGAAUU